ACACCGAUGGUGAAGCGGUUAUCAUGCUUGCCUUCCAUUAGUUGAUCCCGGGUGAUAUAAGCAAGCGGCAGGGGUUCGACUCCCCUUCGGUGUA